UACUUAUCCAGAAAGACUGAGGGAAUGGCCCGAUGAAGUCUUAGCAACCUGUACAGCUCUUGCUGCUAAAAGGUGCUAACUCCUACCCCAUCAAUACGCGGGGGAAAGAUAAGUU
rnacentral:ncRNA from 2 species